CAAAUAUAACCAAAGGAAACAAGUUAGCUAAACUUUCUCCAAUCACAUUCUGUACUGAACAUGUAUUGAAUUGUAUUCAAAUCAAAUAACAUUAGUAAGGCUAAAAUACCUGAAAAAACUGAUCAUCCCAUGCCAUUUUUGUCGGUGGUGUAUGCAAGACUAAGUUUUUCCUCAUACAGCUUUAAUAGAUUCGAAGACUCCUCCUUAAAACGUUUUAAAUAGGCAUCACGAAACAACUUCUCAGACACUACAAAUGGAUAAGUUAAGCUUGCAUUCUCUUUUCGCAGACCACUCUUCAUCAGAAAUUGCACAAUGGGGGCCCUUGGAGCGAUCCUUUUUUCCAAACUUAACGACAAAAUAUGCGGUGCUUUGGCAAUGGCGCGAGCAUCCCAACCCAAUUGAUUGACCCAAAAAUUCAUCACAGAAUUAAUUUUAGUAAUAGAUACCAACAUACAAUGAGGCUGCUUUUUAAAUGCUUCUUCUACAUCUUCAUCAGACCAACCCCAAUUCUUAUAUAAAUCAACUUUUUCGUUCCAUGCUGGUUUGUUUUCUCUAGCAAGCAAUGCUAUAACAAAAGUUGUUUUUGAUGGAUGAAACCCUGAAUUCUUUAAUUCCUCCACCAUCUCCAACAUUUCAUUCGUCUGGAAUAACCGAGUACAGCUCCGAAGCUCAAACAAUCUUACAAUAGUUGAGUCCUUCACUCCAAUAUCAACCAAUAUUUUGAUGUUAUUUAACACAACAUAAGAACUAAGUAAAUAUGGUUUGUGAAUUACAAGAUUAAUAGUUUCCUCGUUUGAUUGCAUGAAUCUAUACAACAAUUCAUAGGUUGGGACUAUAUGAUUCUCCAAGCUUGGAGACAAGACCAUAGGGUACUUACUGACAAGGUUAGCAAUGUCAGAUUUAGAAGCACCUUUGGAGAGGAAAAAUUGAAACUUUGGGAUGAGCCUUACGGAGGGGUUGCAGCAAAGUAGCCAUGGUCCUUUGGAAAUCAUAUUACUUAAUUGGGUUUCUGAGAAACCAUUGUUUCUAAAGAAGUUGAGAACUAAAUCAGCGUUUUGGGUUGUCUUGAAAUAUACCUUGUAAGUGGAGCAGAGUUUGGAAGCAAAUUUUGGGGUGAAGUUAAAAGUGUUGAUGAGGUAGGAGACUGCAAAAGAGGUUGAAUCAGAAGUGUUGUUGGUGGAAAAAUGCAGAGAACAAGAUGGUGAUGGAUAGUGAUGGAUGUUAAGAGGGAAAGUUAAGUUCUUGUUGAUAUAGAGAUAAGGUUGUGGUGUAUUGAUCAUUUGAAAAGAUUUAGAUUUGAUUUGAAGUGGAAAAAAUGGAGAAAAGGAUGAAUAUGAAGAUGUGGAUGAAGAUGAAAAGGGUUGGUGUAUCAUCAUGAANNNNNNNNNNNNNNNNNNNNNNNNNNNNNNNNNNNNNNNNNNNNNNNNNNNNNNNNNNNNNNNNNNNNNNNNNNNNNNNNNNNNNNNNNNNNNNNNNNNNNNNNNNNNNNNNNNNNNNNNNNNNNNNNNNNNNNNNNNNNNNNNNNNNNNNNNNNNNNNNNNNNNNNNNNNNNNNNNNNNNNNNNNNNNNNNNNNNNNNNNNNNNNNNNNNNNNNNNNNNNNNNGUAAGUGGUUACCGAAAUUUAUCAGCAUGUCAGCUUAUUUCGGUUCGUAUAAACCGCAGUACCCCCCAAGGGCAAAAAUGGAAAUUCAGGGGGUAGAAAAGAAUUGAGGGGGGUUGGGAGAGAAAACAUCAUGUAUUUUUACCUUGUACCGGACUAUACUCUUUGUCUAAGCCUCAAAUAGAUUUACAAUUUUCACACUUUUUUACCUUACAAUCAUCCGAUCUAUAGGCAAGAUUGUUUUAAGUGAUUUUUUUGACUGGGUUGAUAUGGACCGUCAGAUCUAUAAUCAACGGCUUCUUUUGCUACUCAUUUCAUGUUAAGUUCUAAACAAAGUCCUUCAAGUGAAGAUGAAACAUUUAAUAUGACAUCUGCUUCUUAUGCAUCUAAUAUGGGUAGUUUGAUGUAUGCAAUGAUGUGUACAAGAUCGGAUAUAGCACAUGUUGUUAGUACGGUCGGUAGAUUUUUGUCAAAUUCAGGUAGAGGGCAUUAAAAUGUUGUAAAGUGGGUUUUGAGGCAUCUUCGUGGUACUACUUGUAUGAGGUUUUACUUUGGAGGAGAUAAGCCUAUUUUAGAAAGGUACUCUAACUCAUAUAUGGUUGGAGACAUUGAUUCUAGGAAGUCCACUUUGAGCUACAUGAUUAAAUUUGCAAGGGGAGUUGUGGCUUGGCGGUCUAGAUUGCAAAAGUGUGCAACACUAUCUACUACAAAGGCAGAGUGCCAUAGUUCAUUGUCAUUACCAAAGCAUGCAAAGCGUUGCUAUGGUGAAGAGUUUUUUGCAUGAGUUUGGUUUUAUUCAAGAAAAAUAUGUACUAUUUGUUAAUUCCCCAUCAAUUUAUUCAUGGCUAGUUGAAACCAGAGACUAACUUCAUGUCAUCGACAAUCACCACAAACUUAUCGGAAGCAUCUUCCACCAUUAUUUCCCUAAGAAGAGCUAUGCCACAACCUUUAACGAGAGUAAGAUAAAGGAUCAACUUCAUCGGUACCGUCGAUGGCGAGAUCGAGACGAGGAUUAUCGUCAAGAACAGAGAGGGAUUCCGAGUGAACGAGCUUGUUCUUCGGUUCUUUGGAAGUGAGAAUGCUGCUGAUGUUGGUGAUAGAGUAAAAUUCAUAUUUUUUUUAUUGUUUCUAUUUUUUUUUAUUAGAUUAGAUAGAUGGCUUUGGCUAACAUGAAAGACGUCACCAAGUCUUCCAUGGUACACAAAUUGCAAAAAUUAUUAUAAUAAAUAUGAAUUUUAUAAAACCGACCGUUGGAUUGAAAGUUUAUAUUAUAUAAAUCAUUUGUAAUUUAUUUUAAAAAAAUCAAAAAUCGUUUAAUAUGUUAUUGAGAACCAUCAAAAUUAACGGUAAUAUAUCAAAUAAUUUUCGAUUUCUUUUUAAAAAAUUAUGGAUAAUUUAUAUAAUAUAAAAUUUCAAUCCAACGAUGGAUUUUAUAAAAUUUGUCUUUAAGUGGUGGCGGAAGACUUAUAUAGUAUUAGUAGUCAUCCCGAUAGAUAUACUCCCUCCGUCCCAAUUUGAUUGACACAGUUGACUGUUUCACACAUGCCGAUGCAUAACUUUGACGAUUAACAUUUUUAAUUAUAUAAUAGUAAAAAUUAUAAAAAUUUGAUAUUUUGAAAAUACUCAUCGAGACGAAUCAAACAAAAUCUUAUAUGUUAAUAUUUAUUUUUGUUUAUUACUAGAAAAAUAAGGUCAAAGCUACAUGUGUAGAUGGUACACAAUAAUCAACCGUAGUUGUAGAUUAUCUUUUAUAUUAUAAGCUUGUAUACAUAAGCAAACCAUAAACCCUAAUUUGUUUUCUCUGUUUUCCCUCCAUUUUAUCUUGCAAUUUUUAUUAAAAAAUAAUAAAAUUUUGUCUUGACUAGAAUUCAAACCCACAAGCCUUCAAUACAAGGUAAUAUUUCCAACCACUAUGGCAAGUAUAUCAAUUAUGAUUAAAAUUAUGUGCAAUAAUUAAUAAGCACCAUCAAUUUUAAAAGUAUAUCAUAUAAAAAUUAUUUUUUGAAGGAAUAUCAUAUCAAAAUUAUUGUUGACUAUAUUAUUCAUCACGAAAUAUUUUUAUGUCUUUCCUGAUCAAUGAUUUUUUUUUUCUACCGGAUUAUAAAUUUAGAGAAUAAUUAUCAUGUGAGAUUUGGANNNNNNNNNNNNNNNNNNNNNNNNNNNNNNNNNNNNNNACACCUUCAACAAUAUUGAAAUCUAUUAAAAAAAAAAUAUAUUUCACAUUUCAAUGUCUCAUGUAACCUUGCUUAUAUCACUUUUUAAAUUAUUUAUUAUGCAAUUUAUUAAAUUGUAGUUUUUUAAAAUUGGAAAAAGAAUUUUGUCAAAAAAAAGGAAAAAUAAUUGAAAUUUUUUAUAAAUACCCUUUAUUUUGACGUUAAUGUAUCCAAACAUAAAUCAAUUCUGUUUAACUCACUUUUAACCAAAAUCAAAUCUAUCAAACUCAGGAUGCGGUUAUUGGGUAAUACCCAAAGGUAACCGCAUGAGAUCUGACGCAGCAUCCAAGGUAACCGCAUCCUGAGUUGUUGUUUUUGGCGGAGAUUUUAGACAAAUUCUACCAGUAAUACCCAAAGGUACAAGGCCAGAAGUUGUUCAUGCUACUAUUAAUUCUUCAGUUCUUUGGAAUUUUUGUGAAGUUUUAAUAUUGAGUAAAAACAUGAGGCUUCUCGGUGGUGCUUCGAGUGCAGACGUUGAACAAAGAAGAUUGUUUUCUNNNNNNNNNNNNNNNNNNNNNNNNNNNNNNNNNNNNNNNNNNNNNNNNNNNNNNNNNNNNNNNNNACAAUAAAUGAUUAUAUGUUGGAUUUAAUUCCUGGUGAAGAAAAAACAUAUUUGAGUUAUGAUACUCCACUCACACAAAAUGUAGACGGUCAAACAGUGAAUGAUGUUCAUACUCUCGAAUUUUUGAACACGAUUUCUACGUCGGGACUUCCAAAUCACAAGUUGAGACUUAAAGUUGGAGUUCCAGUUUUGCUAUUAAGGAAUUUGAAUCAAAAAAUAGGAUUAUGCAAUGAAACAAGACUUAUUAUUACGAGAUUGGGAAAGCGUUCUUGAAGGAAAAACUAUUUCAGGAAGUAAUAUUGGUGAUCAGGUUUUCAUACCUAGAUUUUCUCUGACACCAUCUGACGUGAGAAUUCUUUUUAAAUUUCAACGGAGACAAUUUCCUAUAAUGAUUUCUUUUGCGAUGACUAUUAAUAAGAGUCAGGACCAAUCUUUAAAGCAUAUUGGGAUCUUUUGUCGCCAGUGUUUUCACAUGGUCUGUUGUAUGUUGCAAUUUCAAGAGUUACUUCUAGAAAAGGAUUAAAAAUAUUGAUCAUCGAUGACGACGGUGAAGAUACGACUAAGACUUCGAAUGUGGUCUAUAAGAAAAUCUUCCAUAAUAUAACAUAAUUUUCUUUGUAUGAAUAUUUAUGCAAAAUUAUUGUUGAACUAUCGUUUAAUGUUACUCAACUCUAUCAUAUCUUAUAUUUAAUCAUUAUAUAUCCUACGGAUAAUGUUCUAGUUAGAUUAGAAGUAGACAUCAAUGUGACACCAUCUCACUCUAAUUAUCCCAAACAAUGUCGAAAUGGUUUUUAGGGUUUAUCACAACAAUCCCUAAUUUGACCCUCUUUCUCAACACUUUUCAUUCCCAAUUUCACUCAGAUCAUUCAGAUACUGCACCACCACAUCAGAAUCAGUCUCACACCCAUUUCCAGUAUCAUACCUCAUCAACAAUUUUGGGUUCUCACAUGAAUCAGCUCUCAAAGCUUUCAACCACAAACAGGUUCGUUUCAAAUCUCCAGAUGAGCCUAAUUCAGUUAUCAACUUCUUCAAAAAUCAUCAUUUUUCACAAUCCAACAUACGCAUCAUCAUUACAAAAUCACCAUGGUUACUUUCAUCAAAACCCCAUAAAACCUUAUUGCCAAAGUUUCAAUUUUUUCUAUCCAAUGGUACUUCUUCCUCUGAUAUUGUUUCAUUGUUAACUGCAAACCCUGCAAUUUUACAAAUUAGCUUGAAGAAUAGAAUAAUCCCUCUUUUUGAACUAUUAAGUAAGUUCUUGAAAACCAACAAGGAUGCCAUUGUUUGCUUAAUUCGAUAUUCGACUUCAUUUGCCCUUCAUCCCUAUCAUCGUAUUGUGGCUAAUAUCAAUUUGAUGACUGAUUUUGGAGUUUGUAAUUCUAACAUUGCUACAUGGCUUCAAACAAGGCCGUCUAUAUUUGCUUCAAAUGAUUUGGUUAAGUCAUUGGAGGAAGUUAAGGGUUUAGGGUUUGAUCCUUCAACGACUACUUUUGGGGUUGCUUUGAUGGCCAAGAAAUGUAUGAGUAAAAAACUUUGGAAUCAGAAAGUUGAUGUCUUUAAGAAAUGGGGGUAAUUUGGAAUCAGAAAGUUGGAAUCAAGCAUUUAGGUCAUAUCCGAGUGUGAUGUUGGUUUCAAUUGAUAAGGUUAAUUUGAUGAUGAGUUUUUGGGUCAAUCAAUUGGGUUUGGAUUCCUUGGCACUUACUAAAUGUCCAAAUAUGUUUUCUUAUAGUUUACAUAAAAGGAUCAUUCCAAGGGCUUCUGUUUUGCAAUUUCUUUCGAUGAAAGGCUUGCGAGAAAAUAACGCAAGCUUAGUCAAACCAUUUACUUAUACUGAGAAAUUGUUCUUGAGCAAGUUUGUUUUCAGCUUUAAGGAGGAGUCUGAUUAUCUAUUAAAGUUAUAUGAGGAAAAAAUGAAACUUGAUACACAAAGGAAAACAAUGCCAUGCCACCGACUAAUCAUCUGUAGGAAUUUUAUGAUGCAUCAGUCUCCAAACCCACAAUGAUCGGGAAGGAGGAAUAGAGAUAUUCCAAAGAAGCUUAGUCCAAUGAUUGAUGAGUAUAAGCAUCCUUGAGAGACAAGGAACCUAAAUAGGUGACUUCAUAAUCUCAUGUAACCUUAGCUUGUUAAUACCUAAAUUUAAGUGUUUAUUCUUUCUAUUCUAAGAUAGAGGAUGGUCUAGCUGACUUGUUUAAAUUGCUAAUUUGGACCAGAACACCAGAGAUGGGCAGAAUAAUAACCUUAUGAUUUAUCUUAUGUGUUAUAUCGAUCUAGUAGAUAUAGAAAAGCUCAAAUGGUCUGGCUUUUAUAAUUAUAUGGUUAGGGUAUGUUUUCUCAUGGUGUUAGUACUCCUUCCAUGUUUGUUCAAUCAAGAAUCCAUAGUAGUAAAUUCUUGUGUGCAGCCAAAUAGAAGUGAAAAGAGUUUUUGUAUUAUAUGCAGUAUCGACCAAAAUUACAUUUCCAAAAGAAUCCAUAUUAGUAUAAACAAACUAUGUAGGAAGAUCUACACAAUUUAAUGAUUGAAACUUUAAGCUUGAGAUUAUUAAGUACUUUGGCUAGCUGCUUUUCCGUUAGGUCUCUAAACAUUAUCUUUUUAAGUGAACUUUUAAUUUUUAAGGAUUUUUCUAUUACUCGUACAAUGUUACUAGACAGUUUUGCUGCCUUUUUGAAUUUUGACCAACCAUGGUUCACUAUGUUCUUUCAUUUUAUAUUUUGGAGAAUAUUUAUCCACUCUUGUGAAAGUGGACCUUCUCCCUUUAUGACACAAGAUGGGAACUAAGUAAAUAUGGUUUGUGAAUUACAAGAUCAAUAGUUUCCUUGUCGGUUUGCAUGAAUCUAUACAACAAUUCAUAGGUUGGGACUAUAUGAUUCUCCAAGCUUGGAAACAAGACCAUAGGGUUCUUACUGACAAGGUUAACAAUGUCAGAUUUAGAAGCACCUUUGGAGAGAAAAAAUUGAAACUUAGGCAACACCCUUAAGGAGAGGUUGCAGGAAAGUAGCCAUGGUGCCUUGGGAAUGAUAUAACGUAAUUGGGUUUCUGAGAAACCAUUGUUUCUAAAGAAAGUUGAGAACUAAAUCAGGGUUGGGCAGUCUUGAAAUGAAUAUCGUAAGUGGAGCAGAGUUUUGAACCAAAUUUUGGGGUGAAGUUAAAAGUGUUGAUGAG
rnacentral:lncRNA from 1 species